rnacentral:lncRNA from 1 species
UCCGCCGCCGCCUCCGUACUUCGACGGCGGAGGAAGAAAAUUAUCGUCGGGAACUUGACUCAACAAAGUAUAAUUCGAUCGUCUACCUGGCAUUUCCAUCUCAGAGUUCAGUUUUCCUCUUUCCUCUGAAAUUUCUUAUCAAAUUCACAAAACCCUAGAAAUUGUCAUCUCAGUGGUUUUAGCUGAAAACUGUGGGUUCAACUCUCUCUCUAAACUUUCUCUCACUAAAUUUCCUUUCUUCUUCUCCUUCUUC